rnacentral:rRNA from 1 species
AUGCCGAUGGGAAGCCUGACAACCUUUAGGUGGGGAAAAGGUAGACUUGCAUAUCUCAACGGUGCAAUAAUCAGUGUAGAUGGGUGGAUUAAGAACUCGCAAGUUGUCCUCAGAUGUCAGAUGAAAGCUUUUAUAAGUACAGAUAUCGCUAAUACCGUUCCUUUUCUAAUGGCAGUGAGGUCUUGCAAGCGACGUAUAACUGCAAAGCGUGCUGUAAAUGGAACCUGGAUUAAGCUUUUGGAUAUUGAUGCUACCUCACAACUAGGCGAUGAGCGGCAUAUCUCAAAUCGUACUCUCAGAGCCCCAACAACUGCGUCGACCUCAAUCACGCCGCGCUCCUCCAUGUUGGCGUGCAGCGACAGCGAAGCGCCGAAGCUGGCAUGCAUCUAA